rnacentral:rRNA from 1 species
UACGUAGGGUGCGAGCGUUGCCCGGAUUUAUUGGGCGUAAAGGGCGCGUAGGCGGUCACGCAUCGUCGUGUGAAAUCGCUCGGCUCAACUGGGCGGGGUCAGCGGAUACGGCGUGGCUGGAGCAAGCUAGGGGGCAAUGGAAUCCCGGUGUAGUGGUGGAAUGCGUAGAUAUCGGGAGGAACGACCAGUGGCGGAAGGGCGGAGUUGCCUGGAGCUU